UCUCGGCAGAAGCCGUUUCGGCUUCUGUACGUCUCUGGCAUCACUGUAAUUGAUGGUGCGUGGGGUACCGCCCUGUAAGCAGGGUCAAGCGUAGCCCCGUGUCUCUCGCUGCAAGGAGCCCCCUGUAGCCAGGUGGGUCUCCGUGUCCCCCGCUUUCCAUGGGCUUGGGUCCUCUAGAAGUAGGGCCGGGUUUUCACCCUCCCUGUAAGCAGGGCCUGGGGCUCGAGCCUCGGCAUUUGGCCGUCUGGCUCCACUGGCGGGGGAAAGGUUGAGCUCUGCGGUUCCAUGGGUGUUGCGGACCCGCCUUAAGCAGGCUUUGGUCCGGAGCCUUUUGCUCCGCUGGCAGCUGUGGGGUGCCUGACCCGUUAGCGGGAUGCAGGCUUGUGGAUUCCCCACUUUGGGGAGAAGGAGCCUCCCGCGGCCUCUGGGCCCAGGGCAGCCCUGUAACUCAGGGUGCUGAUGCUCUGGUUCCCUGGGCACUUGAAAUUGUCAAUGGCUCCUCGGAGCCCCCCUGUAAGCCAGGGGUCCAGGCUCUUGGGCCGUUGCUGUGUGUGCCCAGCUUUCAUUUGCCCUUGGUGCCAGCCUUGGAGCCCUGCCGCAGCGCCGCAUGAAGGUCCUCUGCGUGUACAACACGCAGCCAGCGCAGAAGAAGGAGGAGGCGUCGUGUGGAACGGCGAGGCAAGAGGGAGCGGGAAGAGGGAGCGGCAGAUGGAAGACGGGCAAAGAGGAGGACACCCUGGGCAAAGGCUUCGCCCUGUUAGCGGGGCUGUAGGUAGAGGAGAGCAGUGCUGGCACGUGAGGUGCCUGGAUUGUUUUGUGCUGGGCGACCUCCCUGUAAGCAGGGCUCGGGUCUUUGCGAUUGUAAUCGGCCUUUUGCCUUGUUGCUCCUUUGGCUGCCUGGGGGGAGCGGCCCCCUGUAAUCAGGGGCACAGCUGCUCUCUCCGCACCCGGGAGGACUGUGGAGCUUGCCGGACCCCAGGGCCUCCCUGUAGUCAGGGCAGAGCCAAUUCCCCACCCCCUUAAUUUUAGCCGUCUGGCUCUUGGUCUAAACUAUUUGUCUAAACGUGAUGGGCUAUGGAAACUUAGUAUAUGACUGAUGCCUAUGCUAUAAUGCCAACUAUUGCAUAAAAAGCAAUAUAAAAGCGAUAUAUAUAUAUAUAAUAUGACCUCUAUGAAUACUGUGAAAACAGAUUCUCUAAAGGAGAUGAAUGAUAAAUUACGAUGCAUGCUGUGUUUCAGCACCCUGUAGCUGGGGUGCGUUGUCCAAUUGGG
rnacentral:lncRNA from 1 species